AGUAGAGUGGCGCACGGGUGAGUAACGCGUGGGUAAUCUACCCUUGGAUUUGGGAUAACUCUGCGAAAGUGGAGCUAAUACCGGAUAGUCUGGCUUUAAAUAAGAAGUCGGUAAAGGAUGCCUCUGCAUAUGCAUUCGUCCGAGGAUGAGCCCGCGUCUCAUUAGCUAGUUGGUAGGGUAAUGGCCUACCAAGGCAACGAUGAGUAGCUGGUCUGAGAGGAUGAUCAGCCACACUGGAACUGAAACACGGUCCAGACUCCUACGGGAGGCAGCAGUGGGGAAUAUUGCGCAAUGGGCGAAAGCCUGACGCAGCAACGCCGUGUGAGGGAUGAAGGCUUUCGGGUCGUAAACCUCUGUCGGAAGGGAAGAACGGGCAUUGGUCUAAUAGGCCUUUGUUUUGACGGUACCUUUAGAGGAAGCACCGGCUAACUCCGUGCCAGCAGCCGCGGUAAUACGGAGGGUGCAAGCGUUAUUCGGAAUUACUGGGCGUAAAGCGCACGUAGGCGGCCUUGUAAGUCAGGGGUGAAAUCCCACGGCUCAACCGUGGAACUGCCUUUGAAACUGCAGGGCUUGAAUCCUGGAGAGGGUGGCGGAAUUCCUGGUGUAGGAGUGAAAUCCGUAGAUAUCAGGAGGAACACCGGUGGCGAAGGCGGCCACCUGGACAGGUAUUGACGCUGAGGUGCGAAAGUGUGGGGAGCAAACAGGAUUAGAUACCCUGGUAGUCCACACCGUAAACGAUGGAUACUAGGUGUCGGGGACUUGAUCUUCGGUGCCGUAGCUAACGCGUUAAGUAUCCCGCCUGGGGAGUACGGUCGCAAGGCUGAAACUCAAGAAAUUGACGGGGGCCCGCACAAGCGGUGGAG
rnacentral:rRNA from 1 species